rnacentral:rRNA from 1 species
CAAUAGCGUAUAUUAAAGUUGUUGCAGUUAAAAAGCUCGUAGUUGAAUUUCUGGCGGGCGCGCCGGUCUUCCAAGUGUUGUACUGGGCGCAGUCCGCCAUCCUUGUGGAGAGGGCUCGCAUUGAGUUGCGUGUCGGAUCUGCAUCAUUUACUGUGAAAAAAUUAGAGUGUUUAAAGCAGGCUGUCGCUUGGAUACAUUAGCAUGGAAUAAUAAGAUAGGACUUCGGUCUAUUUUGUUGGUUGCGAACCGAGGUAAUGAUUAAUAGGGAUAGUUGGGGGUAUUCAUAUUUAAUUGUCAGAGGUGAAAUUCUUGGAUUUAUUAAAGACUAACAUCUGCGAAAGCAUUUGCCAAGGAUGUUUNCAUUA